UGCUCCAGUUGAUCGCAUGGUCUUCUGGGAAAGCUUUCGCGGUAUGGGAUGGGGUCGCGUCCUAUCAGCUUGACGGCGGGGUAACGGCCCACCGUGGCUUCGACGGGUAGCCGGCCUGAGAGGGCGACCGGCCACAUUGGGACUGAGAUACGGCCCAGACUCCUACGGGAGGCAGCAGUGGGGAAUAUUGCACAAUGGGCGCAAGCCUGAUGCAGCGACGCCGCGUGCGGGAUGGAGGCCUUCGGGUUGUAAACCGCUUUUGUUCAAGGGCAAGGCACGGCUUCGGGCCGUGUUGAGUGGAUUGUUCGAAUAAGCACCGGCUAACUACGUGCCAGCAGCCGCGGUAAUACGUAGGGUGCGAGCGUUAUCCGGAUUUAUUGGGCGUAAAGGGCUCGUAGGCGGUUCGUCGCGUCCGGUGUGAAAGUCCAUCGCCUAACGGUGGAUCUGCGCCGGGUACGGGCGGGCUGGAGUGCGGUAGGGGAGACUGGAAUUCCCGGUGUAACGGUGGAAUGUGUAGAUAUCGGGAAGAACACCAAUGGCGAAGGCAGGUCUCUGGGCCGUUACUGACGCUGAGGAGCGAAAGCGUGGGGAGCGAACAGGAUUAGAUACCCUGGUAGUCCACGCCGUAAACGGUGGAUGCUGGAUGUGGGGCCCUUUCCACGGGUCCUGUGUCGGAGCCAACGCGUUAAGCAUCCCGCCUGGGGAGUACGGCCGCAAGGCUAAAACUCGAAGAAAUUGACGGGGGCCCGCACAAGCGGCGGAGCAUGCGGAUUAAUUCGAUGCAACGCGAAGAACCUUACCUGGGCUUGACAUGUUCCCGACAGCCGUAGAGAUACGGUUUCCCUUCGGGGCGGGUUCACAGGUGGUGCAUGGUCGUCGUCAGCUCGUGUCGUGAGAUGUUGGGUUAAGUCCCGCAACGAGCGCAACCCUCGCCCUGUGUUGCCAGCACGUCGUGGUGGGAACUCACGGGGGACCGCCGGGGUCAACUCGGAGGAAGGUGGGGAUGACGUCAGAUCAUCAUGCCCCUUACGUCCAGGGCUUCACGCAUGCUACAAUGGCCGGUGCAACGGGAUGCGACACCGCGAGGUGGAGCGGAUCCCUUAAAACCGGUCUCAGUUCGGAUUGGAGUCUGCAACCCGACUCCAUGAAGGCGGAGUCGCUAGUAAUCGCGGAUCAGCAACGC
rnacentral:rRNA from 1 species